GGGGGCGACCUGGCUUCGACGGGGUUAGAGAAGCUCUGACUGCGUGCCGAGGGAUCCUGCUUCCUCGUAAAUCCGCGGGAAAACUUUCAAGCGACGAAACUAACACGUACGCUAUGGCUGCCUAGGGAAACCUACUCAGCCCGUUCGGAUCCGUUGAGCCUGCGCGGCGGGUCCGAAUGACAUCUAUUGCAGGCUGGCCCAAGCCCAUGCUCAGGGGGGGCGGGCGAGACUUUACUGAGCUGGUUCCGAUGCGUGGCCUUGUCGAUUGGCAGCGUAGCGGACGAGACUUUAAAGGUCGACUACGCACGUAGAGGUCUUGGUGGACUUGAUCUCGG
rnacentral:tmRNA from 1 species